rfam:Schistosoma mattheei strain Denwood, Zambia genome assembly, scaffold: SMTD_scaffold0004700
AUCUACCUGACGAGUCCCAAAUAGGACAAAAUGCACGUUCUGGAU